CCUACGGGAGGCAGCAGUGAGGAAUAUUGGUCAAUGGACAAGAGUCUGAACCAGCCAAGUAGCGUGAAGGAUGACUGCCCUAUGGGUUGUAAACUUCUUUUAUAUGGGAAUAAAAUGUUCCACGUGUGGGAUUUUGUAUGUACCAUAUGAAUAAGGAUCGGCUAACUCCGUGCCAGCAGCCGCGGUAAUACGGAGGAUCCGAGCGUUAUCCGGAUUUAUUGGGUUUAAAGGGAGCGUAGGUGGAUUGUUAAGUCAGUUGUGAAAGUUUGCGGCUCAACCGUAAAAUUGCAGUUGAAACUGGCAGUCUUGAGUACAGUAGAGGUGGGCGGAAUUCGUGGUGUAGCGGUGAAAUGCUUAGAUAUCACGAAGAACUCCGAUUGCGAAGGCAGUUCACUGGACUGCAACUGACACUGAGGCUCGAAAGUGUGGGUAUCAAACAGGAUUAGAUACCCCAGUAGUC
rnacentral:rRNA from 1 species